rnacentral:rRNA from 1 species
CCCUACGAUCAUACUACGCUGAACGCACCGCAUCCCGUCAAAUCUAUGAACGUAACGAACGUUAGCCUGGGCUAGUACUACGGUUGGAGACGGCGUCUGAACACUCAGUGCCGUAGGCC